UACGGAGGGGCUAGCGUUGUUCGGAAUUACUGGGCGUAAAGCGCGCGUAGGCGGAUCUGCAAGUCGGGGUGAAAGCCCGAGGCUCAACCUCGGAACUGCCUUCGAUACUGCGGGUCUCGAGUCCGGGAGAGGUGAGUGGAAUUCCUAGUGUAGAGGUGAAAUUCGUAGAUAUUAGGAGGAACACCAAUGGCGAAGGCAGCUCGCUGGGACGUGACUGACGC
rnacentral:rRNA from 1 species